UACAGAGGGUGCGAGCGUUGUUCGGAAUUAUUGGGCGUAAAGGGCGCGUAGGCGGUGCGGUAAGUCACCUGUGAAAUCUCCUGGCUCAACUGGGAGUCUGCAGGCGAAACUGCCGUGCUGGAGUGUGGGAGAGGUGAGUGGAAUUCCCGGUGUAGCGGUAAAAUGCGUAGAUAUCGGGAGGAACACCUGUGGCGAAAGCGGCUCACUGGACCACAACUGACGCUGAGGCGCGAAAGCUAGGGGAGCGAACGGG
rnacentral:rRNA from 1 species